GAGUCCGUGUUUCAUUAGCUAGACGGUAGGGUAACGGCCUACCGUGGCAACGAUGAGUAGCAGGCCUGAGAGGGUGGCCUGCCACACUGGGACUGGAACACGGCUCAGACUCCUACGGGAGGCAGCAGUGGGGAAUAUUGCGCAAUGGGGGAAACCCUGACGCAGCGACGCCGCGUGGAGGAUGAAGGUUUUCGGAUCGUAAACUCCUGUCAGAAGGGAAGAAUCCCGGGUGAAGUAAUAUGUCACCCGGCUGACGGUACCUUCAGAGGAAGCACCGGCUAAUUCCGUGCAAGCAGCCGCGGUAAUACGGAAGGUGCAAGCGUUAAUCGGAAUCACUGGGCGUAAAGCGCACGUAGGUUGCUUUGUAAGUCAGGUGUGAAAUCCCAUGGCUCAACCGUGGAAUUGCACUUGAUACUGCAUUGCUUGAGUUCGGGAG
rnacentral:rRNA from 1 species